AGAUCGAUCGGCCGGCAGUCCGGCACUCCCCAAUCGCAGCCUCCCUCGUCCUCCCCCAAUCCCCACCUCCUCCUCUCCUCCCAAUGGCAGCCUCCUCUCCUCCUCUGUUCCCCUUUCCAGCGGGAGCGGCGCUCCAGCGACGGAGGCAGGACACGGGAGCCGGUGGCGGCAGGGACCGCACGCCUAGCGGCGGCGGCGGAUGGAACGUCGGCUGCGGUGCAGCAGCCUGGCAGGCGGCUGGAGAGGCGUUCAAGCGCGUCCACCCUCACCACGGCCUCCCCAACCCAGGAGCAUAUGGCGGAACCGGUCGGUGCCAGAGCGGCCGACCCUGACCGGCGAGGAGAGCGGACCGGCGAGGAGUGCGGCCGACCCUGACCGACGAGGAGCAAUGCCUUCUUUCUCUGUCUCUUCCUCUCUAUCUAUCUCUCAGCUCUCACUCUUGUUUCUCUCAUUUUUUCUAGCUGCAAGGAAUGGCGGAGGAGUGGAUGUGAGACAAGGAAAAGGGCGAAGACACGCACGUAGCCUCCUCUCCUCUUCCACGGUCAAGAAUCGCGGCAGGAGGGGCGGGAUCCAGGGCAGGACAUGCGGGAUCUCGUUAUGCGGAGGAGCCGAGCGGCCGCCACGCACCAGACGCAAGAGGAAAAGGAGGGAGAAGGAGUGGCUAGGGUAUAUGCAAAGGCUGCUCAGGACCAAUCAGCGGUGUAUGAUGAACCAGGUUGCAGAAAACCAUCGCCCAGCUGCUAAUGGAAUACCUCCCGAGGAGAAUAAGGAACUCUCCCACGCGAGAAUGGAAACGGAGCACAUUUACUUGGACCUCCCAAGCAUCAGAUGGAAACACUACAUAGACAGUAGGAAUAUUGCAAUGAAGUCGAUUGCUUGAAGAUGAUGGUGCAGCUCUAAACACUAUGUGUGAAAAUCUGAGAAAGAAAAGAAGUGCAAGAAUCUCAUGGAAGAGUUUCAUGAAGGAGAACAAGGUUAUACUCUAUUCAGGAGCCAUUGUACAUGCUUUAUGUUGGCUUUGGUGGUUCCAAAUGAAUUCUGUUUGCUUCAACGUUCUUCGUGGUGCAGACGCUGCAUGGAGUGGCGAGGGACAGUCGAACAGUGAUCGUGUCGAUCCAUCAGCCGAGCAGCGAGGUCUUUGAGCUUUUUGAUCGGUCGUGGUGUUCUCUCAGGGGGGAACAUUGUACUUUGGGCAGACCCUUCUUUCCCUAGCUAGCUUCCCAUGUCCACCGCUCCACCAAUACAUCGGAUUAUUUCCAAGGUGAAUGCUACACUGAAAGGAUCAGUGAAGAUGACAUUCUUUCCCUAGCUAGCUUCCCAUGUCCACCGCUCCACCAAUACAUCGGAUUAUUUCCAAGGUGAAUGCUACACUGAAAGGAUCAGUGAAGAUGACAUUCGAGAGGCCCGAUGAUCCACUCGAGCAAACUAUAACUUCCGAGCCAAACAGAAUGCUAUUCAGCUAUUAACAUCGCUAAUAUUACUAUUUCGUAGCGUGGCAGAAAGUCGAUGAGAUGACAUGUGUUGGUUUCUCUAAUGCUUGGUACUAGCUGGUUCUAUGCUUGGUUGGUUGGUCCAAGGUCUAGACGACGCACUAACUUUACGGUUCUAGCUCUGCUCCCUUUCAUAUAUCAGAUCAUCUCCUCACCUGCGGCUCUUGAAAGGAAGAGCACGAGGCACACAGCUGCACCGAGGUGUGGAGACGAGAGUAACCGCCUGGGGGCGGUUAGCGGUGGCGUAAUGGAGCUGCACCUGUUGUUAUACUCUAUUCAGGAGCCAUUGUACAUGCUUUGUGUUGGCUUUGGUGUUUCCAAAUGAAUGUUGUUGGAAGUCAUGUAAAAUUAAUGGUACUGAAUUGUCAUAUUAAUAAGUAUUGAUGAACUGGGCUAGGCAACAAUCACAUGAUUGAAAACUUGAUUGGUUAAUUAGGACAUGGUUAAUUAUUUCUGCAUCUUUCUUGAAAGAUGUAAUUUUUGCAGUGUUCAAAGGUGUUAGAAAAGAAAGUUCAAGUUUUAAGUGUCUGAUUUUUGUAGCAGAGACUUUAUGAGGCUAGAAGAAUUUAUCAAGGUUAUCACUGUGAAAACAACAGAUACUACUUCAGAAAACCUGUAUGUUCAGCAGAGCAACACCUUUGAUGACCAUGGAGUGUAUACUUGGAUUAUUGAAGGCUUCACCACACCUCAGACCCCAUGCAACUCUCCAACAUUUGUAACUGAUAAAUUCUACACCAGAAGAGUUUGCCUUCUGGAUACAAAUGGUAUCUAAGUAUCAAGACAUCUAACAUGGAUGUGGAUGGCAGCACGAAUUUUCUCUCUCUGUUCCUGCAUCUGUAAGAUAUGCUCCCCAGAAAUCAUGGAAUACUGGUAGAAGUCAGCUUUUCUCUCAUGGACCAAGCAAAUGGCAACCACAGGGAGUUCAGAGGAACUGGCAGGGCAUGUGGAUGGAGCAAACCUUCCAAGAUGCUCGGUUUAGGUGCGACUCUCCACUGUUUCCUGCGGCCGCAGCACCGACGGCAAGCGGCUCUCCUCCUUGGAGCCUCAGGUGAGGCGACCCCGUGGCGAGCGGAGCAGCGACGGCGGGAGGGAGCUGCGGACAGCGCCACAGCGGCGGGGCGACGAGGGGCGGCAACAAAGCUACUUGAUGCGGGGGACGGCCGGCGGGGGAACUCGCCUUUUCUGCUCCUGGAGGCUCCGCCUCUGCCCCGCAUCCCCUGUUCCUGGAGGCCCCGACUCCUAUGCUCCUGAGCGGUCGCGGACGGCUGGCGGGGAUGCGUGCUCACCGUCGACGUCGAGGGCGCGAGCCCAGCUCCGGAGCGGGACGGGGACGGAGCUCCGGCGCGGGACGGGGACAUCGGGAUCUUGAAUUUUUAAUUGAGGACCACGUUUCAGAAGAACUGAAUCUGCAAGGGGGUUUCCAGUUUUUAAUUAAGGUGGUGCUCACCGUCCCCAGUUUCCAAAGCCAUUAACAAUACUAUACCCACCAAGGGUGACACCUUGAGUCGCAGUUGAGAGACAUCAUUUGGGAGAAGUGACGGCGACAUUCUCUCCGAUAGCAUGUCAUAAACAUCAUUUUGAUGCAGAAGUCAGACUAUACAACCAACAACCUUUGAAAUGCAUAUUAAUUACAUAUUGUUUCACCUAUCAAAUAGGUUUUUAUUCA